AGUGAACGCUGGCGGCGUGCUUAACACAUGCAAGUCGAACGAGAACGGAUUAUAGCUUACUAUAAUUGUCAGCUAAGUGGCGCACGGGUGAGUAAUGUAUAGGUAAUAUGCCUCUUACUAAGGGAUAACAAAUGGAAACGUUUGCUAAUACCUUAUACUCCUUAUUAACAGAAGUUAAUAAGGGAAAGAUUUAUUGGUAAGAGAUUAGCCUGUAUUGUAUCAGUUAGUUGGUGGGGUAAUGGCUUACCAAGACUAUGACACAUAACUGGCUUGAGAGGAUGAUCAGUCACACUUGAACUGAGACACGGUCCAGUCUCCUACGGGAAGCAUCAGUUGUGAAUAUUGCACAAUGGACGAAAGUCUGAUGCAGCAAGGCCGCGUGAAGUAUGACACAUUUCGGGGCGUAAACUCCUUUUAUAUGAGAAGAUAAUGACGGUAUUAUAUGAAUAAGCACCGGCUAACUCCGUGCCAGCCGCCGCCGUAAAAC
rnacentral:rRNA from 1 species